UUGCCUACGGGGGGCAGCAGUGAGGAAUAUUGGUCAAUGGGCGGAAGCCUGAACCAGCCAAGUCGCGUGAGGGAAUAAGGCCCUACGGGUCGUAAACCUCUUUUGCCGGGGAGCAAGGGCGGGGACGUGUCCCGGCCCGGAGAGUACCCGGAGAAAAAGCAUCGGCUAACUCCGUGCCAGCAGCCGCGGUAAUACGGAGGAUGCGAGCGUUAUCCGGAUUUAUUGGGUGUAAAGGGCGUGUAGGCGGGAAAGCAAGUCAGAUGUGAAAACCAUGGGCUCAACCUGUGGCCUGCAUUUGAAACUGU
rnacentral:rRNA from 1 species